rnacentral:rRNA from 1 species
AUUGAACGCUGGCGGCAGGCCUAACACAUGCAAGUCGAGCGGAUGAAGGGAGCUUGCUCCUGGAUUCAGCGGCGGACGGGUGAGUAAUGCCUAGGAAUCUGCCUGGUAGUGGGGGAUAACGUCCGGAAACGGGCGCUAAUACCGCAUACGUUCUGAGGUUGAAAGUGGGGGAUCUUCGGACCUCACGCUAUCAGAUGAGCCUAGGUCGGAUUAGCUAGUUGGUGGGGUAAAGGCCUACCAAGGCGACGAUCCGUAACUGGUCUGAGAGGAUGAUCAGUCACACUGGAACUGAGACACGGUCCAGACUCCUACGGGAGGCAGCAGUGGGGAAUAUUGGACAAUGGGCGAAAGCCUGAUCCAGCCAUGCCGCGUGUGUGAAGAAGGUCUUCGGAUUGUAAAGCACUUUAAGUUGGGAGGAAGGGCAGUAAGUUAAUACCUUGCUGUUUUGACGUUACCAACAGAAUAAGCACCGGCUAACUUCGUG